UACGUAGGUGGCAAGCGUUGUCCGGAUUUACUGGGCGUAAAGAGCGCGCAGGCGGUCGUUCAAGUCACACGUGAAAUCCCUCGGCUUAACCGGGGAACUGCGUGUGAUACUGGAUGGCUUGAGUUUGGGAGAGGGAUGCGGAAUUCCAGGUGUAGCGGUGAAAUGCGUAGAUAUCUGGAGGAACACCGGUGGCGAAGGCGGCAUCCUGGACCAAUACUGACGCUGAGGAGCGAAAGCCAGGGGAGCAAACGGG
rnacentral:rRNA from 1 species